rnacentral:piRNA from 1 species
GGGAGCAACGAAUGGGUUGAUGGGAUC